AACGCACAUUGCGCCCUUUGGUAUUCCGAAGGGCAUGCCUGUUCGAGCGUCAUUAUCACCCCUCAAGUCCUGUGCUUGGUGUUGGACGGCUGGUCGAGCGAUCGACCCCUCCUAAAGACAAUGACGGCGGCCUGUGGAUCCCCCGGUACACUGAGCUUUUAACUGAGCACGUACUGGACAAGGGCGCCCAGGACCCGGUCCCCUCCUUUAACUAGGAAACUUCUAAGGUUGACCUCGGAUCAGGUAGGAAUACGCGCUGAACUUAA
rnacentral:misc_RNA from 1 species